UACGUAGGGAGCAAGCGUUGUCCGGAAUCAUUGGGCGUAAAGCGCGCGUAGGCGGCCCUGUAAGUCCGUUGUGAAAGUCAAAGGCUCAACCUUUGAAAGCCGAUGGAUACUGCAGGGCUAGAGUCCGGAAGAGGCGAGUGGAAUUCCUGGUGUAGCGGUGAAAUGCGCAGAUAUCAGGAGGAACACCGGUGGCGAAGGCGGGUCUCUGGGCAGUAACUGACGCUGAGGAGCGAAAGCGUGGGGAGCAAAAAGG
rnacentral:rRNA from 1 species